GAUGAACGCUGGCGGCGUGCCUAAUACAUGCAAGUCGAGCGAACAGACGAGGAGCUUGCUCCUUCGACGUUAGCGGCGGACGGGUGAGUAACACGUAGGUAACCUACCUAUAAGACUGGGAUAACUUCGGGAAACCGGAGCUAAUACCGGAUAAUAUUUCGAACCGCAUGGUUCGAUAGUGAAAGAUGGCUUUGCUAUCACUUAUAGAUGGACCUGCGCCGUAUUAGCUAGUUGGUAAGGUAACGGCUUACCAAGGCAACGAUACGUAGCCGACCUGAGAGGGUGAUCGGCCACACUGAAACUGAGACACGGUCCAGACUCCUACGGGAGGCAGCAGUAGGGAAUCUUCCGCAAUGGGCGAAAGCCUGACGGAGCAACGCCGCGUGAGUGAUGAAGGUCUUCGGAUCGUAAAACUCUGUUAUUAGGGAAGAACAAACGUGUAAGUAACUGUGCACGUCUUGACGGUACCUAAUCAGAAAGCCACGGCUAACUACGUG
rnacentral:rRNA from 1 species